CCAACUAACCAGAAGAAUUUGCGACGGAUUCACGUUGUUGUCUUUUUUCGCAAUAAUCACUGCCGGAAGCGACUCGAUUCCAGCGAGACCGUUUAGAAAUGUUCGAGGAGAUUCGAUGGAUUUGCGUCGGAGCCUGUGCAGAUAGAAAUGUGAUACCCUUAUUUCCCAAAAAAAAACCUAGUUUUCUUCCUCCUUACUAUUUGAACGCAAAA
ensembl:ncRNA F43B10.3 ncRNA